AAUGAACGCUGGCGGCGCGCUUAACACAUGCAAGUCGUGCGGUACCGAUGGCAAGUCUUCUUGACGAGCCUUCGGUAUAGCGGCGGACGGGUGAGUAACACGUGAGUAGCUGUCCUAGGGAGGGGGAUAACGCCUGGAAACGGGUGCUAAAACCCCAUAAGCCUCGAAAGAGGUAAAAGUGCAUCACUGCAGUCCUAGGGUGUGCUCGCGGCCUAUCAGCUAGUUGGUGAGGUAAGGGCUCACCAAGGCCAAGACGGGUAGCCGGCCUGAGAGGGUGUACGGCCACACUGGAAUUGAGAUACGGUCCAGACUCCUACGGGAGGCAGCAGUGGGGAAUCUUGGGCAAUGGGCGAAAGCCUGACCCAGCGACGCCGCGUUGGGGAUGAAGCCCUUCGGGGCGUAAACCCAUGUUGUAGGGGACGAAGAAAGUGACGGUACCCUACGAGAAAGCCCCGGCCAACUACGUG
rnacentral:rRNA from 1 species